GAAUAUUAGUCAAUGCUCGAAAGAGUGAACUAGCUAACUGAAAUCAAUAAGAAAAAUUGAUAACAUAAGGGAAAAUAAUGAUAUUACCUUAUUAUUAGUGUCGUCCAAAUCUGGUGCCAGAAGACUCGGUAAGGCCAGAGACAUAAACGUUAAUCGUCUUAAUCAGGCGUAAAGGGUUUGUAGGCGGCUUUAAAUUUAUUUAAAAUAAAGAAUAAAAGCUAGAAUCAAAUAGAGGAAAUAUUAAAUAAUGCUUAGAGUAGGUCUGAUAUCCUUAGAUACUAAGUAGAAUAUUAAAGGCGAAAGCUUUUUUCCAUUGAUGAUUGACGCUCAGAAACGAAGGUGAGGAUAGGAAAUAGGAUUAGAUACCCAAAAUACCCCUCUCUGUCAACGAUGAAUGGUAGUUAUUAGUAAUAAUUAUUAAUGGCAAUGUUAACACGAUAACCAUUCCGCCUUGUGAGUACAACUGCAAAGUUGAAAACAAAAAAAUUAGUCGGUUUCGGAGCAAACGAAGUGAAGCAUGUUAUUUAAUUC
rnacentral:rRNA from 1 species